UACGGGGGGGGCAAGCGUUGUUCGGAAUUACUGGGCGUAAAGGGCUCGUAGGUGGCCAACUAAGUCGGACGUGAAAUCCCUCAGCUUAACUGGGGAACUGCGUCCGAUACUGGAUGGCUUGAGUUUGGGAGAGGGAUGCGGAAUUCCAGGUGUAGCGGUGAAAUGCGCAGAUAUCAGGAAGAACACCUACGGCGAAGGCAGCUCUCUGGGACGGUACUGACGCUGAGACGCGAAAGCGUGGGGAGCGAACAGG
rnacentral:rRNA from 1 species